rnacentral:tRNA from 1 species
UCCGGGUUGCUUCAAAGGCCAAUCCCGCAGGGCUCAUAACCCUGAGAUCGGAAGUUCAAAUCUUCCACCCGCUA